rnacentral:rRNA from 1 species
AACGAACGCUGGCGGCAUGCCUAACACAUGCCAGUCGAACGAGACCUUCGGGUCUAGUGGCGCACGGGUGCGUAACGCGUGGGAACCUGCCCUUAGGUUCGGAAUAACUCCCCGAAAGGGGUGCUAAUACCGGAUAAUGUCUUCGGACCAAAGAUUUAUCGCCUUUGGAUGGGCCCGCGUUGGAUUAGCUAGUCGGUAGGGUAAAAGCCUACCAAGGCGACGAUCCAUAGCUGGUCUGAGAGGAUGAUCAGCCACACUGGGACUGAGACACGGCCCAGACUCCUACGGGAGGCAGCAGUGGGGAAUAUUGGACAAUGGGCGAAAGCCUGAUCCAGCAAUGCCGCGUGAGUGAUGAAGGCCUUAGGGUUGUAAAGCUCUUUUACCCGGGAUGAUAAUGACAGUACCGGGAGAAUAAGCUCCGGCUAACUCCGUG